rnacentral:rRNA from 1 species
UGGGGAAUAUUGGACAAUGGGGGCAACCCUGAUCCAGCGAUGCCGCGUGUGCGAAGAAGGCCUGCGGGUUGUAAAGCACUUUGGUUGGGGAAGAAGGUUGGUUAUCGAAUAGAUGAUUGAAUUGACGUUACCCAAAGAACAAGCACCGGCUAACUCUGUGCCAGCAGCCGCGGUAAUACAGAGGGUGCGAGCGUUAAUCGGAAUUACUGGGCGUAAAGGGUGCGUAGGCGGUUGAUUAAGUUAGAUGUGAAAUCCCCGGGCUUAACCUGGGAAUGGCAUUUAAGACUGAUUGGCUAGAGUAGAGUAGAGGGUAGUGGAAUUUCCGGUGUAGCGGUGAAAUGCGUAGAUAUCGGAAAGAACAUCAGUGGCGAAGGCGGCUACCUGGACUCAUACUGACGCUGAGGCACGAAAGCAUGGGGAGCAAACAGGAUUAGAUACCCCCGUAGUCC